GGAUGGGUGGCCGAGCGGUCGAAGGCGCACGCUUGGAAAGCGUGUAGGCUCCUAAAGGGUCUCGUGGGUUCGAAUCCCACCCCAUCCGCCA
rnacentral:tRNA from 1 species